CCUACGGGAGGCAGCAGUGAGGAAUAUUGGUCAAUGGACGGAAGUCUGAACCAGCCAUGCCGCGUGCAGGAUGACGGUUCUAGGAAUUGUAAACUGCUUUUGUACGGGGGUAAACCCCGACUCGAGUAUCGGAUCGAAAGUAUUGUACGAAUAAGGAUCGGCUAACUCCGUGCCAGCAGCCGCGGUAAUACGGAGGAUCCGAGCGUUAUCCGGAUUUAUUGGGGUUAAAGGGUGCGUAGGCGGGAUGUUAAGUUAGAGGUGAAAUGUCGGGGCUCAACCCCGAGAGUGCCUUUGAGACUGUUGGACUAGAGAGUGGUAGCGGUAGGCGGAAUGUGUGGUGUAGCGGUGAAAUGCUUAGAUAU
rnacentral:rRNA from 1 species